rnacentral:rRNA from 1 species
AGUCGAGCGAGCGGAACUAACAGAUUUACUUCGGUAAUGACGUUAGGAAAGCGAGCGGCGGAUGGGUGAGUAACACGUGGGGAACCUGCCCCAUAGUCUGGGAUACCACUUGGAAACAGGUGCUAAUACCGGAUAAGAAAGCAGAUCGCAUGAUCAGCUUUUAAAAGGCGGCGUAAGCUGUCGCUAUGGGAUGGCCCCGCGGUGCAUUAGCUAGUUGGUAAGGUAAAGGCUUACCAAGGCGAUGAUGCAUAGCCGAGUUGAGAGACUGAUCGGCCACAUUGGGACUGAGACACGGCCCAAACUCCUACGGGAGGCAGCAGUAGGGAAUCUUCCACGAUGGACGCAAGUCUGAUGGAGCAACGCCGCGUGAGUGAAGAAGGUUUUCGGAUCGUAAAGCUCUGUUGUUGGUGAAGAAGGAUAGAGGUAGUAACUGGCCUUUAUUUGACGGUAAUCAACCAGAAAGUCACGGCUAACUACGUGCCAGCAGCCGCGGUAAUACGUAGGUGGCAAGCGUUGUCCGGAUUUAUUGGGCGUAAAGCGAGCGCAGGCGGAAGAAUAAGUCUGAUGUGAAAGCCCUCGGCUUAACCGAGGAACUGCAUCGGAAACUGUUUUUCUUGAGUGCAGAAGAGGAGAGUGGAACUCCAUGUGUAGCGGUGGAAUGCGUAGAUAUAUGGAAGAACACCAGUGGCGAAGGCGGCUCUCUGGUCUGCAACUGACGCUGAGGCUCGAAAGCAUGGGUAGUGAACAGGAUUAGAUACCCUGGUAGUCCAUGCCGUAAACGAUGAGUGCUAAGUGUUGGGAGGUUUCCGCCUCUCAGUGCUGCAGCU